rnacentral:rRNA from 1 species
CAACAAGCUACUAAGGGUCUACGGUGGAUGCCUUGGCGCUGGGAGCCGAUGAAGGACGUGGCAGGCUGCGAUAAGCCUCGGUGAGCCGUCAAGCAGGCUUUGACCCGGGGAUGUCCGAAUGGGGAAACCUGGCCGGGGUAAUGCCCGGCCGCUCCGGUCUGAACACAUAGGGCCGGUUGAGGCAACCGGGGGAAUUGAAACAUCUCAGUACCCCGAGGAAUGGAAAGCAACAGCGACUCCCUGAGUAGCGGCGAGCGAAACGGGAUGAGCCUAAACCGACACGGCGUGAUAGCCCGGUGGCGUUGCCGUGUCGGGGUCGUGGGACCCACUGAGCAGUGCGCCGGCACUGCUGCGGAGUUACCAAGCCGGGUGCUAGCCGAAGCCUCCUGGAAAGGAGGGCCACAGAAGGUAACAGCCCUGUAGGCGAAAGCGCACCGGCCUCCGUGUGGAGUUCCCAAGUAGCACGGGGCACGUGAAAUCCCGUGUGAAUCUGCGAGGACCACCUCGUAAGGCUAAGUACUACCCAGCGACCGAUAGUGAACCAGUACCGUGAGGGAAAGGUGAAAAGCACCCCGGUGAGGGGAGUGAAAUAGAACCUGAAACCGUGGACCUACAAGCAGUCGGAGGGCUCCUUCGGGGGCCUGACGGCCUGCCUUUUGAAGAAUGAGCCGGCGAGUUAGCGGUACGUGGCAAGGUUAAGGCGAGAGCCGUAGCCGCAGCGAAAGCGAGUCUGAAUAGGGCGUCUAGUCGCGUGCUCUAGACCCGAAGCCGAGUGAUCUAUCCAUGGGCAGGGUGAACCGAGGGUAAGACCUCGCGAAGGCCCGAACCCACCAGGGUUGAAAACCUGGGGGAUGACCUGUGGAUAGGGGUGAAAGGCCAAACAAACUCGGCGAUAGCUGGUUCUCCCCGAAAUAGCUUUAGGGCUAGCGUCGCGCAUUCCACCGUGGAGGUAGAGCACCGAUUGGGCUAGGGGGCCUACAAGCUUACCGAUCUCAGUCGAACUCCGAAUGCCAUGGUGCCACAGCGCGGCAGUCAGACCGUGGGGGAUGAGCCUCACUGGUCAAAAGGGAAACAGCCCAGAUCGCCAGCUAAGGUCCCAAAGUCUGGACUAAGUGGGGAACGAUGUGGAAUUGCUCAGACAGCCAGGAGGUUGGCUUAGAAGCAGCCAUCCUUCAAAGAGUGCGUAAUAGCUCACUGGUCGAGUGGUUCUGCGCGGAAAAUGUAACGGGGCUCAAGUCCAGCACCGAAGCUGCGGGAUUCCGCCAUCAGCCAGGCCUGUUCCUUUCGGGGGACGGGUCCAGGCGGCGGGAUCGGUAGGGGAGCGUCGAGCAGCCAGCGAAGCGGCGGCGGGAGCCAGCCGUGGAGGCUGCUGGAGUGCGAAUGCCGGCAUGAGUAGCGAAUGGGGAGUGAGAAUCUCCCCCGCCGAAUGUCCAAGGUUUCCUGGGGAAGGCUCGUCCGCCCAGGGUUAGUCGGGACCUAAGGCGAGGCCGCGAGGCGUAGUCGAUGGACAACUGGUUGAUAUUCCAGUACCACCAUGUGCGCGCCACGGCCGACCCCGGCCUGCUAAGGAAAGCCCUUCGGGGCCUACCGAACCGGCCGGCACUAGGCCAGCGAUGGGGUGACGCGGAAGGGUAAGCAGACCCGGGCGUUGGUUGACCCGGGGCAAGCGUGUAGGGCGGGGUCCAGGCAAACCCGGACCCCACUAAGCCUGAGGCGUGAUGCCGAUCCGCUUUAGGAGAAGCUGCCGAACGCCCAUGCCGCCGAGAAAAGCCUCUAGCGAGUGCACAAGGUGCCCGUACCCCAAACCGACACAGGUGGACAGGUAGAGAAUACCAAGGCGAGCGAGAGAACCGUGGUUAAGGAACUCGGCAAAAUCGCCCCGUAACUUAGGGAGAAGGGGCGCCUCGGUAGGGUGAGAGCGUUUCGCAUGCUCGAGCCCGAGGAGGCCGCAGUGACUCGGCCCAAGCGACUGUUUACUAAAAACACAGGAGCGUGCUAAGUCGCAAGACGCUGUAUACGCUCUGACGCCUGCCCGGUGCCGGAAGGUCAAGGGGAGGGGUUAGCCACUUCGGUGGCGAAGCUCUGAACCUAAGCCCCGGUAAACGGCGGCGGUAACUAUAACCGUCGGUUAGCGACCUGGCGGUUGCAAAACCUGGCUGUAUGCUGGGACAUCCGGGAAUCCGGAGGUACUCAUUACUGUCAGUGCCGUGCGAUACGGUGCCGGCAUGAUGAGUGACAAUCCUUCCGGUGCGGACUAUCAGCAGGAAACUCAGGAAUCGGCUCUCGACCCGAACUGGCUCUGUGGGUUCGUCGACGGAGAGGGAUGCUUCUCCGUGUCGAUCCACCGGAAUCCGGGUGCGAAGAUGACCAACGGGUGGCAGCUUCAGGCUGUCUUCCAGGUCUACCAGCACGAGCGCGGUCGGGAGGCACUCGAACGAAUCCGGCGGCUCUUCGGAUGCGGAUUCAUCCGGCAGAAGGGACCGAAGAGCUCGGUAUUGACCUUUGAAGUGCGCAGGAUGUCCGAUCUGGAACGGUGCGUAGUGCCGUUCUUCGAGAGGCAUCCUCUCAUCGUCAAGCGUCAGGACUUCGAGACUUUCGCUCUCAUCGUGAGGGCAAUGCGCAAGAAGGAACACCUCGUGAGAGCAGGAUUCGAACGCCUGAUCCGGCUGGCCUACACCAUGAACGGAGUGGGAAAGCAGCGGGCGCGAACCCUGGAUCAGAUUCUGGCAGGAUCCUCAGAGACUGUACGCCAGGCGCCCUUGUGAAGGGCGAUGAGACAGUCCGACCCUCAUGGCGACAUGAGGAGCCAGGCAGAAAUGACCUGGCCACCUCGCCUGCGAACAUCACGGGCAGGUAGUAACAAAUGUGCCUAAGGUAGCGAAAUUCCUUGUCGGGUAAGUUCCGACCUGCACGAAUGGCGUAACGAUUUGGGCGCUGUCUCAACCACGGACUCGGCGAAAUUGCAGUGUGAGUGAAGAUGCUCACUUCCUGCGACAGGACGGAAAGACCCCGGGACCUUUACUGCAGCUUGGCAUUGGAGUCUGGUGUGGCAUGUGUAGGAUAGGUGGGAGACUUGGAAGCAGCGGCGCUAGCCGUUGUGGAGUCAGCGUUGAAAUACCACCCUUGGCAUAUCGGGCUUCUAACCUCGGUCCGUUAUCCGGAUUAGGGACGGUGCCUGGCGGGCAGUUUCACUGGGGUGGUGGCCUCCCAAAAUGUAACGGAGGCGCCCAAAGGUUCCCUCAGUCUGGUCGGCAAUCAGACGGCGAGUGUAAGGGCACAAGGGAGCUUGACUGCAAGACCUACGAGUCGAGCAGAUGCGAAAGCAGGGCCUAGUGAUCCUACGGCGGCAUGUGGAAGCGCCGUGGCUCAUCGGCUAAAAGGUACCCCGGGGAUAACAGGCUAAUCUUGCCCAAGAGUCCAUAUCGACGGCAAGGGUUGGCACCUCGAUGUCGGCCCGUCGCAUCCUGGGGCUGAAGCAGGUCCCAAGGGUCGGGCUGUUCGCCCGUUAAAGCGGUACGCGAGCUGGGUUUAGAACGUCGUGAGACAGUUCGGUCCCUAUCCGUCGCAGGCGCAGGAGGUUUGAGGAGACCUAUCCCCAGUACGAGAGGACCGGGAUGGACGUACCUCUGGUGUGCCAGUUGUCCUGCCAAGGGCACUGCUGGUUGGCUAUGUACGGCACGGAUAAGCGCUGAAGGCAUCUAAGUGCGAAGCCGGCUCCAAGAUGAGACCUCCCACCGUUCGCGGGUAAGGCCCCUGGCAGAACACCAGGUUGAUAGGCCGGAGGUGGAAGCGCAGCAAUGCGUUGAGCCGACCGGUACUAAUCGGCCGAGGGCUUGU